rnacentral:rRNA from 1 species
UACGGGGGGAGCAAGCGUUGUUCGGAUUUACUGGGCGUAAAGAGCGUGUAGGCGGCCAAGCAGGUCCGUUGUGAAAACUGGAGGCUUAACCUCCAGACGUCGACGGAAACCGCGUGGCUAGAGUCCGGAAGAGGAGAGUGGAAUUCCUGGUGUAGCGGUGAAAUGCGCAGAUAUCAGGAGGAACACCGGUGGCGAAGGCGGGUCUCUGGGCCGAUACUGACGCUGAGGAGCGAAAGCGUGGGGAGCGAACAGG